GGAGACCUUGCAGCGGGACGUGAUUAAAACGAGCUGCUGUGUGAGCGUAUAGCUGCGCUACAGAGGAAAAAGCAAAGUCAAACCCUUUUCGGCCUUGGAGUUCCAUCGGCGAUGAGCAGCUCAAGGAGGGAACAGAGGCUGUGGUCUCCAUGGAAACUGUGGCCGACCAAUGGUGGGUGUUUGCUGCCUGAACAUAUGACACGCUGCCUUUGGAGGGAAAGCUGGACCCAGGAAGGAGCAAAAGCAGGAGGAGGAAAUUUACACAGCAUAAAUAUGUUUGCUCUCUGAAUGAGCUCACCAUGUUUCCCCGAGCUCAUUAAAAUAUCAAACCCAGAGUUAUAUUUCAAUAUGUAGAUAUUGUCAAUAAAAGUAGCUUCAGCUUAAUAUUCUGGGUGAAGUGUUUGGUUUUAUUAUAUUAAACAUGCUACAGUAAUAUUGUCGAGUAUACCA
rnacentral:lncRNA from 1 species